UAGGGAAUCUUCGGCAAUGGGGGGAACCCUGACCGAGCAACGCCGCGUGAGUGAAGAAGGUUUUCGGAUCGUAAAGCUCUGUCGUUAAGGAAGAACGAGUGUGAGAAUGGAAAGUUCAUGCUGUGACGGUACUUAACCAGAAAGGGACGGCUAACUACGUGCCAGCAGCCGCGGUAAUACGUAGGUCCCGAGCGUUGUCCGGAUUUAUUGGGCGUAAAGCGAGCGCAGGCGGUUAGAAAAGUCUGAAGUGAAAGGCAGUGGCUCAACCAUUGUAGGCUUUGGAAACUGUUUAACUUGAGUGCAGAAGGGGAGAGUGGAAUUCCAUGUGUAGCGGUGAAAUGCGUAGAUAUAUGGAGGAACACCGGUGGCGAAAGCGGCUCUCUGGUCUGUAACUGACGCUGAGGCUCGAAAGCGUGGGGAGCGAACAGG
rnacentral:rRNA from 2 species